CGCGUGCGUGCGUCAUCAGUCUGUGCCAAGGGCACUUUUGGCCCGCGUCUCUCAAGGUAGCGAUUUCCUUAUUGCCGCGGCCAUGAGCAGGGCCAGGGCGGCGGCGGCUCAUUCCCUGUGGCGGCUACGCACGGGCGCCCGGUGGUCGCUCUCAGCUUGUGGAGGAAGAAUCAGUGUCAGGUCAUGCAGUUCACGAAUGACCUCAGACAAUAUCAAUCGGGCAACUGUGGAUCGAAUAAUCCGGGUGGAUCAUGCAGGCGAAUAUGGAGCAAACCGCAUCUAUGCCGGGCAGAUGGCUGUCCUGGGUCGGACCAGUGUUGGACCAGUCAUUCAGAAAAUGUGGGAUCAAGAAAAGGACCACUUGAAAAAGUUCAGUGACUUGAUGGUCGCGUUCCGGGUCCGGCCGACGAUCCUGAUGCCCCUCUGGAACGUGGCGGGGUUUGCUCUGGGCGCGGGAACUGCCCUGCUCGGGAAGGAGGGCGCCAUGGCCUGCACUGUGGCUGUGGAAGAGUCCAUAGCGCGGCACUACAACAACCAGAUCAGGACGCUGAUGGAGGAGGAUCCUGAGAAAUACCAGGAGCUGCUUCAGGUGAUAAAGAAAUUCCGGGAUGAAGAGCUCGAGCACCAUGACACAGGCCUCGAGCACGACGCAGAGCUGGCCCCGGCCUACGCUGCUUUGAAGAGAGUCAUCCAGGCUGGGUGCAGCGCAGCAAUCUACCUGUCCGAGAGGCUCUGAGAUGCGUCUGCAUCCCCUUGUCUGGAAGACAGGCCGUGAUGCGGCUGCUGACAGUGGCCCAAGAGGAAACGUGCAGCUACUGCCCGUGGAUUCUGUUAAUAAACUGAGGGUUUUCGUCCUGCAGGUAGAAGCCGUGCUCGUCUGAGCUGCUGCUGCUCUGUCUGGCUUCCAUUCGCUGCUCACUGCAGCCGGGAGCCUUAGCUGCGUGAGGGCGCCUGCAGCUGCUGUGAACAGCCACGUUUGCUGCCGGUGAGCAGCCCCUUCAGAGCCCAUGGCUGAUGGGUUAGGCUUCUGAGAGCUUCCAGGACAAGAUGAAUUCCUCUUUGAUGGCUGUUAAUUCCAUU